AAUUAAAGGGCGAGGUCAGCACAACAUAAAAAAAAAACAACAAAAAAAAAUCGGAGGAGCUUGCCGAAGAUGAGGCCAUUAAGGCUCGCCUUUAGGUGUCCAUCCUGGGACAGCGUCAUUUAUAGAACGAUGGUCAGCACAACGUAAAAAAAAACAAAAAAAAAUCGGA